rnacentral:rRNA from 1 species
UACGUAGGGUGCAAGCGUUUGUCCGGAAUUAUUGGGCGUAAAGAGCUCGUAGGCGGUCUGUCGCGUCUGCUGUGAAAACUCGGGGCUUAACCCCGGGCCUGCAGUGGGUACGGGCAGACUAGAGUGCGGUAGGGGAGACUGGAAUUCCUGGUGUAGCGGUGAAAUGCGCAGAUAUCAGGAGGAACACCGGUGGCGAAGGCGGGUCUCUGGGCCGUAACUGACGCUGAGGAGCGAAAGCAUGGGGGAGCGAACAGG